rnacentral:lncRNA from 1 species
UGUUAAAAAAAAAAAAAAAAAAAAAAAAAAAAAGAAACUACUAUUUUUGGAAAUUUUUCAUUUCUAUAGAGAACUAUUGUAGAUUCGGGAUUGUGACUUUGAAAUUAGGAUAACUAAAAUUUUUUGUUGAUAGAUGAAUAUUUUUUCAGAAUUUUUCAUCAAUAGGUUGCAUUUUUAAUACUUUUUUAAGAACCUUGUAUUUUUGGUUGAUUAUCAUUUUUAUAGAGAACUAUUGUAGAUUUGGGAUUGUGACUUAGAAAUAAGAUUAACAAGAAUUUUUGUUUAUAUAGAGAACAGAUAAUUAGAUAUUUAUAGUGGUAGUCCAAUGAUUUAAGCAGUAUAUAUAUUUUUAUUAAAUUAAUUGUUAAAAAAAUUGGAGCGAUGUCUAUGUACCAUGAAAGAGAUUUAGAAUACAUUAUUACAAAUGUAGAAUGUAGCCAGAAAUUUUUAAGCAACACUAAAUAGUGUAAACCAAUAUAAAGAACACUUACCGAAAAACUUAAUUUCGUAGGGAGUUAUUAACCUUCAGAUUUUGAGAAAAAUCAAAAAUAUGCAAAAUCUUGUUUUAUUGCAGUUGCAUCUUGCACUAGAAUAGGAAUAUUUUCAAAGAAUUUUGGAUUUCUUUUGUUUGUGUUUGUUUCUCUAGAGAAUAGAGAUUUCAUAGUGGUUAGUCCACUCAUUUAGGCAAUAUAUGAAGUUUUAUUUAAUUAAACUUUUAAAAUUUGAGACAAUACUAAUGUAUCAUGAAAGAGAGUUUAGAAUACAUUAAUAUAAAUGUAUAAUGUGGUUAUAAAUUUUUAAACACCACUAAAGAAUAUAAACUUCAUUAUACAAAGCAUUUAACGAAAACUCACUCAUAGGGGUUAACCUUCGGAUUUUGAGAAAAAUUAGAAAAAAAUUGUAAUCUUGUUUUAUUUCAAUCUUUUUUUAUUGCAUAAGUGCAUCCUGAAUUUACAUAAGAUGAUGGUCAAAGAGGUUUGAAAUCUUUUUUUGUGUCAUUUCUCUAUAGAAUAUAUAUUUCAUAGUGGUUAGUGCAUAGAAGUUCUAUUAAAUUAAUUGUAAAACAAUUAGAGAUGAUAGUCAUGUACCAUGUAAUAAAGUUUGGAAUACAUUAAUACAAAUGUAAAAUGUUGUUAGAAAUUUUUAAAUAACACUUAAGAUUGUAAACUUCAUUAUAUAGAGCAUUUACCGAAAACUCAAUUUCGUAGGAGUUAACCAUUAGAUCUAGAAAAAAAUUAAAAAAUUAUAACAAUCUUUUUUUUAUUGCAUUGUUGCAUCCUCCAUUGACAUAGGAUGAUAGUCAAAUAGGUUUGAAAUUUUUUUUGUGUCUGUUUCUCUAGACAAUAGAUAUUUGUAGUGGUUAUUCUAUUGAUUUAAGCAGUAUAUAAAGUUAAAUUAAAUUAAUUAUUAAACUUUUAAGUGAUGUCUAUGUACCAUGAGAGAAAUUUUAGCAUACAUUAAUACAAUGUAUAAUAUGGUUAUAAAUUUGUAAACAACAUUAAAGAGUGUAAACUUCAACAUAUAGAGCAUUUACCGAAAAACUAAAAUUUGUAGGGGUUAACCUUCUGAUUUUGAUAAAUUUCAAAAAUAUGAAAAUAUUGCUUUAUGGAAUAAUUGCAACCUGAAGUGUCAUAGGAUGAUGGUCAAAGAGGUUUAAAAUAUUUAAUGUGUUAGUUUUUUCUUGAAAAUAGAGAUCUCAUAGUGGUAAGUCCACUCAUUUGGGCAAUUUAUGAAGUUUUAUUAAAUUAAUUGUUAACAAAUUAAAGACAAUACUCAUUUACCUUGAAAAAGAUUUUAGAAUACAUUAAUACAAAUGUAUAAUGUGGUUCGCAAUUUUUAAACAACAAUAAAAGUGUAAACUUCAUUAUAUAAGGAAAUUACCAAAAACCCAAUUUCGAAGGGGUUCUUAACCUUCAUAUUUUUUUUUUUAAAAUGACAAUCUUUUUUUUAUUGCAUAAGUGAAUCCUGAACUGAAAUAGUAUGAUGUUUAAAGAGUUUUAAAAUCUUUGUUGUGUCCAUUUCUCAAGAGAAUAUAUAUAUAUUUAUAAUGGUUAGGCCCCUGAUUUAAGCAUUAUAUAAAGUUUUUUAAAAUGAAUUGUUAAAAAAUUAGAGCUAUGUCUAAGUACCAUGAAAGAGAGUUUAUAAUAUAUAAUCACAAAUUUAGAAUGUUAUUAGAACAUUUUAAGCGACACCAGAAGGUGUAAACUUCAAUAUAUAGUAUAUUUACCAUAAAAACUCAAAUUUCGUAGGGGUUAACCUUCAUAUUUUGAGAAAAAAAAAUCAAAAAUAUAAAAAUGUUGUUUUAUAGCAUAGUUUCAUCUUGCACUGGAAUCUUUGUUCCCGUUUCUUUAGAGAAUUGAGAUUUCAUAGUGUUAGUCCACUAAUUUAGGCAAUAUAUGAAGUUUUAUUAACUUAAUUGUUUAAAAAUUAUAGAGGAUAGUAAUGUACCAUGAAACAGUGUUUAGAAUAUACUAACAAAAAUGUAGAAAGUGGUUAGAAAAUUUUAAACAACAAUAAAGAGUGUAAAUUUCAUUUAUAGAGAAUUUACCGACAACCCAAUUUCGUAGGGAUGUUAACCUUUAGAUUUUGAGAAAAAAAUAAAAAAAUAUGAAAAACUUGUUUUAUUACAUAGUUGCAUCCUGCACUGACAAAUGAUGAUGGUAAAAAAGAUUUGAAAUAUUUUUUGUGUCCGUUUCUCUGAAGAAUAUAUAUUUAUAACGGUUAGUCCACUGAUUUAAGCAGCAAAAAAGUUUUAUAAAAUUAAUUGUUAAAAUAUUAGAGAGACGUAUAUUUCCAUAAAAGAUAGUUUAGCAUACAUAAUGUAUAAUUUGGUUAAAAAAUUUUAAACAACACUAAAGAGUGUAAACUUAAAUAUAUAGAGCACUUACCGAAUAACUAAAUUUCGUAGGGGUUAACCUUCAAAUUGUGAUAAAAAAUCAAAAAUAUGAAAAUCUUACUUUAUGGAAUAAAUGCAUCCUAAAGUGGCAUAGGAUUAAGGUCAAAGAGGUUUGAAAUCUUUAUUAUGAUCUUUUCUCUAGAGAAUAGAGAUUUCAUGUUAGUCCACUGAUUUAGACAAUAUAUGAAGUUUUAUUAAAUUAAUUGUUGAAAAAUUUAAGCCAAUACUCAUGUGCGAUGAAAAAGAUUAUAUAAUACAUUAAUACAAAUUUAUAAUGUGGUUAGAAAUUUUUAAACAACACUAAACAGAGAAAACUUCAUUAUAUAAAGCAUUUGCCGAAAAUCAAAUUUUGUAUGAGUGUUAACAUUCAGAUUUUGAGAAAAAUUCAAAAAUUAUGACAAUAUUUUUUAUUGCAUAAUUGCAUCUUGAACUGACAUAGGAUGAUGGUCAAAAUGGUUUGAAAUAUUUUUUAUGUCCGUUUCUCUAGAAAAAAUAUAUUUAUUCCUAUGAUUUAAGCAAUAUAUAGAUCUUUAUUAAAUUAAUUGUUAAAAAAUUUGGAGCGAUGUCUAUGUAUCAUGAAAGAGAUGUAGAAUACAUUAUUACAAAAUUAGAAUGUAGCUAGAAAAUUUUAAGCAACACUAAAUAGUGUAAACAUGAAUAUAAAGAACACUUACCGAAAAACUUAAUUUCGUAGGAGUUAACCUUCAGAUUUUGAGAAAAAUCAAAAAUA